CAUAAUUUUAAAAAACUGUGCUUAUGCUAAAAACAGAUCCUUAGCAUUCUUCCAGUAUUCUUAGUUGUGUCAUUUGCUUUAAAAUAAGCCUAAGAAUUGCACCAGAAUUAGCUGCACAACUCCGCCAGGAAAUGCAAAGUUUUAUUGUUAUAGGAUUCUAGAAACAAUCAUAUUAUAUAUCUGGAAACUCUAUACACACAUGCCCACACACACAAAAACACACACAAUUUUCACUGAAUAGACAUCAUAAUAAGCACACUGAAAACCUAAUAAAGUUAUUAUAAAGCUGUAGAACACAAUGAUUAAAAGCAAAUGAUAAUCUUAAAUUUUAAAGAACUGAAAAUAUUAGAAUUUAAGAAUUAAAAUGUUCUAAUUGUUCUUUGGUCCACUAUCAUAGAUUUCAAGCAGAUUAAUUAAUGUAGUAGAAUGACAUUAAUAGUUCCUAUCAAUGGGAUUUAAUUUAUACCAUUUUGAAAAUAGUUUGUUGUCAUAUAUUGUUUACUGUGUGACUUCUUGUAUUUGCUCUAAAGUAAGGCUAAAUCACAUCUUAGCCUCAUCUCAUCCAAGGAAGUGAUUACAGUAAAGGUAUCCAUGUUGGGUUAAUGUGUAAAAUAGUGGUUGUGGAUUAAUGUGGGUUUGAUGUAGGAAUUUAUUAUUCUCCUUAUUAAGAUUAGCUUGAAAUGUACUGUGUGACGAAUAUUUAGUCUAUUCAAUAAGUGGUAUUCAACAGAUAUAUAUCAACAAGUGCUAUGUACCAACCACUGUUCAAGGUGGCAGAUAAAAAUAUAGGCAAAGAUAAUAUUAAUCCAAAUUGCACAUGAAAACAUUUGAUACUAUUGAUAAUGUGGCAGAUGAAAUGAUUUUCACUUUAUUAUAAUUUUUAAGAGAAUGAGAUAAUUAAAUGUGUACUGUAAGUGUUACAAGAAGCCUAUCCAUGUUAUUCUUUACUGAAAUAAUUAGAUUACAAAAAUCACCUUUUUCAAAAGAAAUUUAUAUUAUAAAUGCUCCCAUGGCAAAAACAAAAAGCCUGGUCUUUGACUUGGAAUAUAUUCUUAUUAUAUAAAGUAAGAUACAUGGCAGAGAGAAGAAAAAACAAUUUUAUUCAUCUGUCCUGGUAAUGACAAAAAAGACAGAAGUCAUAUUUUUUUUGCAAUUUUAGAUUGGACUCCUAAGAAUAGCAGACAGUUGGCAGUGUAAAUAUGUUGUAAAUUAGCUAGCCCUGAAACAAAAUGACUGAUCAUUAGCAAAUCGGGCAACUUUUAUUAUUGCCAUUGUAAGUUGCUUUACCUAUCAUGAGUGUGCUCUUAUACUAUUAGAAUUGAAAUCUAUUCUGUACUGCCAAUUUAUAUCCCUGUUUUAUAAUCUUGGGAUUCUUGCUUUACAUUCUAAAAUGUUGUCUCUGAACAAUUAGUGAAUAUCAAGUAAGUUUUUUAUUUUUUUUAAAGGUAGUCUUAAAAGUCUAAUGAUCUUUAGUGAAAAUAAUGAGGAGAUUUGGAUAUGGUGGUUCAUUUCUGUAAUCCCAAGUAGUUGGAAGGAUGAGGCAGGAGUAUAUUACUUGAACCCUGGAGUGUGAGGACUGAUUGAGCUAUGUGCUAUCAUCAUGCCACUGCAGUCCAGCCUGGGCCACAGAGCAUAAUCUGAAUAAAAAAUAGAACUAUAAAAAGUAAUAUAGCAUUGCUGUUUUUAAUUCACUUGUAGUAAUGCAUAGAUAGCAUAUUUAGCCAAAACGUUUUAAACUGGUAAUAUGCCAAGAGGUCAGAUGUUUGAGUCAGAUUGCUAGCUAGCUCCUCAACUGGCUAAAUCUGUAGUAUUUUGCAAAGUAUUUCUCCUAAAUGUAAUUAGUUUUUUUAUUUGUUAAAUGGAUUUACUAAUGCUACCUGCUUAGGAAACUAACUCUGAUAUUAAUUAGUUUACCUCAAAAACUUGUUCUGAAUGACAUAUAUUAGGCAAUAAAAUAUUAGCUACUACUUGAUAUUACAAAUUCUUUUCAUCUGUUUACUUUUAAAGCUCAUAGUGAGCACAAUAAAAUUCCAGAAGACCGAUGAUGGCUGUUAGAUAUAACAGAACGCUCUGAGAGUCACUAUCAGAAAUGAGCAUAUCAGUGCAUAAAAUGUAUGGUAGCUUUAUUUAGCAGCUGUUUCAUUGUUUACCAUAGCAUUUUUUCUUACAAUUUUGUAGAAGCCUGUGUCAGAAUCAAGAAGUUUUUUUUAGAAGAUGAUAAUCAUGGAUGAUUGAAAUCAUACUGAAAAUUAUUCUAAAUUCUAUUAUAUUUAUAGUUGUAUUUUCUUUCAAAGGAUAAUGGAAGUCUUAAAAAGAAAAUGGAUACUUCUCUGCCAGGGGAGAUACUGUGAUCAUGAAGGUGGCUUUCCCAGGGCAAGGCUGAUCUAUUGCAUUCUGGAUGUGCUGACUCCUACGAUUUCCCCAAGUGUGGGAAACUCAACUGCAUAAUUUGUGGAAAAUUUGAAGCCAGAUGACAAAGAUGCCUUAGAUGAGCAUAAGUCCUCUCCAACAGAAUAUGCUCCAUUAUAUCCUCAUCCAACAGGCUUUAUGUAUCAAUAGCCUGCCAACAGGACAUUGUUCAUCCACCUUGAAACGGCCAUUCAUCAACCAAGCAGGUUGUUGUUGUCAAUAGGGAGCUCUUCAAAGGGCAUUGCCCAUGUGACAGUGGGAUCCAGUAAUUCCUGAGGUGGUUCCAGACUACAUGCUAGAAAAUUCCCUACUACCUGCUCUUGAACAGGAUGAGCAACUCCUUGCACUUCCCUGGUUUGUGAUGAAGAAAUAAACAAUGCCCAGUUCCUGCCCUGGAGAAGCUCAUUGCAUAGAAAAAGGAAAAAGGCAGAUAUACAUGCCACAGUACAGUGCUGAGACAACAUAAAUCACAAGCAACCAAGUACAAAGUGAAUUAUACAGAAUCUGGUUUUCUUCUGUUUGGAUUUGAUACUGAGCUAUACUGGAUUCACUGACAAGAAGAGUUUGAAUUAGCAGCAUGCUGAGAAUGGACACAGUGUUUGAAGAGACUGAUAAAGAAAGUACAGGAGGAGUUUUAUUUUUGGAAGAAGAAAUGGUCCUUGGGCACAGACCCCAUAUGAGUUUUCCUUUCAGCGUUCUCUGCUCAGCUGUUCUCUGCUGUGGUGAGGCGCCUAUGCUUUGUAUAUGUCUGAAAUUAAUUGAAAAGCUAGUGACAGAUUCUGAUGUCAUUUGCCAUGAGCUUUAUUAUUGUGCAGGUAAUUUUGGAUCAAAUCACCCUAACGUUUUUCAACAAAGACUUUAGAAGAAAUAAAGCUGCAUUACUUUUUCUUGGCGCAUUCUUCCUUUAGGACCUAUAGUGAGGUUUUAAAUAGAGACAGAACUUGCCCUGUGGCCCACGUUGGAGUCCGCUGGCAUGAUCGUGAUCCACUGCAGCCUCAACUUCUUUGGGUUCAAAUGAACUUCCCACCUUAGCCACCUGAGCAUCUCGCCUAUCUGGACUCCACCUAUCCUCCCCUGUCAGCAUCUCACAGCAUAGGCAUGGGCCACCAGAACCAGCUUAUUUUUGUAUUUUUUUAAGCAGAAGAGAUCUUACCAUGUUGUGAAGACUGGUCUCGUACUUCUGGCUGAAGUGAUUUGUUCUCCUAAGCCUUCCAAAUUGGUGGGAUUACAUAUGUGAACCACCACACAAAGACUCCUACUGGUAUAUUUAGAAGGAUAUAAGUAUGCCGGUUUUUGGAUGCAUGCAUGGAGAAGACCCCAAAGCUUUUCACUUUUCCCUGAGUUUGGGCUAAACACUAGAGUUCCUCAAAGAGUCCAUAUCCAAAGUCUGGGCAGUUUUUCUUUUCUUUCUUUUCCUUUUUUUUUUUCUUGGAUUGUUUUUAAAAAAUAUGUCGAGAAUAGUAGACCAUCAAAAAGGUGACAGAACACAGAUUAAGUGGAUAUACAACACAAAGAAUGCAGACCACAAAAAUAGCUCUGGAGGGUUGCUACACAAGUAAACAACCCACAAACUAAGGAAUUGUGGAUGUUAAGAAUUUGUUAUCCAAAUAUGCUGAAUACUAUCCAAUAUUUCAAUUCACUUCAUUUUACUAUUCUCAAAGACCUAAGGGAACCCAGGAGUACAGUGAUUCAAAACUGAAAAUACCAGUAAAGACAUACAGAUUAUUUUAAAAAUGAAAUCAAUAACCUUGAAGUUACUAGGAAGCUGUGUGAUUGAAAGUCAGUCACUCAAUCACAUGAUCCUGGGAUUUUCCUCUACAUGUGGGACUACCCAUACCUUGCAGCAUUGCUGUGAGUUCACCUGAGCAAGACACCUGCACAUGGUGGUGCUCAGGAAAUGUUAAUUUCCCUUUAUUGAAAUGGAACAACCCAUGGGUAUUAUGUCUUGAGGUCUGGAUUACAGUUGAGCAAGAUACAGAAGACGUUGUAAACCCUGAGGAGGCAUCACUGAUCACUGGGAGUCUGGAAAGGCAGCAGAGAAAAAGUGACCUGCAGCUGGAAAUGGCCAAUGGGUCUGUUACAGGAAGUUACACAGGCAUGAGUGGGGCAGAAGAGAGUUCUCCCAUCCACCUACCAGGAAUGUCAGGCCAUCGGGUAAUGGUUGGACAGUUAUCACAUUGCUUUUCUAAAAAUAAUAAUUUAGCAGCAGAGCCAGGGAUAGACAAGUUCCUACUGAUACACAGCUGGUAACAUUAAAGUGUUAACUAAAGUCACACUCCCGGGAGGGGGAAAAAGGGCUUCUAGUAAAAUUUUACAUACUGGGUGAGUGAACUGAGACAUGCACAUUAAGAGACGAAAUGGUACAGCAUGACUUUCUGGGGUCACUCCACCAAAAAAAGGGAGGAAGCUUCAGAUGGGCAUGCAUAUAAAUGCUCAAACACACUGCCUAUGCUCACUUCUCAAGGGUAAGGAGGGCACUGUGCCUGCUGGCAGCCCACACUUAGGAAAGAAUCAUGGAAAAAGGUGCACCAGAUGCUCAAGGUGGGCCAGCCUAUAAAGUCCCAGAAUGAAGAGAAAUGGCCACACUUGUUCUUCAAGUCACCCACUUGGAUCUCUUCCAAGUGCACUUUUCAUUCUUUCCUGCUCUAAAGCUUUUUAAUAAAUGUCCACUCCUGCUGUGAAACUUGCCUCAGGAUUUUUUUUCCUUCUUUAUGCCCAUCAGUUGAACUCUUUCACCUGAGGAGGCAAGAACUGACAUUGCUAAAGACGCAGAUGGAUUUGCUGCCAGUAACUCCGAUACUUUCCACCAGUAACAGAUCUAGGAGCUGGUGGACAUAGUUGCUGAAGCAUGUGUCCAGAAUGUUUCUGCCCAGGCCACAAGCAGUCCUGCACUGUAAAGGGACUUGAACCCCAAGCUCAGGGGACACCAUGGAAAGAGACUUCAGCCCGCUGAUGGAAUACUGGAGAUAGGAAUUUUUUAUUGAGGUAUAAUUCCCAUAAUAUGUUAACUGUUUUUUAAGGUAUAAUUCAGUGACACAGGAAUGUGCAUGUUCUACCACUUCUUAAUUCCAAAUUAUUUUCAUCAUCUCAAAAGGAAAUCCCCUACCUAUUAAGGAGCUACUACCCAAUCUGUCCUCUUUCUGACUCCUGACAAUUAACAAUCUGUUUUCUUUCUCUGUGAAAUUAUUUAUUUUGGAUAUGUUUAUAAAUAAAAUCAUACAAUACGUGA
rnacentral:lncRNA from 1 species